UGGCCUUGACAUAAACAGAAUUCAGUAGAGAUAUAGAAGUGCUAGUUUACUAGAGCUGUUAUACAGGUGCUGCACGGCUGUCGUCAGCUCGUGUCGUGAGAUGUUGGGUUAAGUCCCGCAACGAGCGCAACCCUCGCUAAUAGUUAAUAACGGUUCGGCCGAUGACUCUAUUAGGACUGCCUGGGUAACCAGGAGGAAGGUGAGGACGACGUCAAGUCAUCAUGGCCCUUACGGCCAGGGCUACACACGUGCUACAAUGGGGUAUACAGAGAGCCGCAAUACCGCGAGGUGGAGCAAAUCUUAAAAAUAUCUCCCAGUUCGGAUAGCAGUCUGCAACUCGACUGCUUGAAGUUGGAAUCGCUAGUAAUCGUGAAUCAGCAAUGUCACGGUGAAUACGUUCCCGGGUCU
rnacentral:rRNA from 1 species